rnacentral:tRNA from 1 species
ACCUGGGUGGCUCAGUUGGUUGAGCAUCUGACUUCGGCUCAGGUCAUGACCUCACGGUUUGUGGGUUCGAGCCCCGCAUCGGGCU